UCGGUAAAGAAACCUGGCACGA
rnacentral:misc_RNA from 1 species